rnacentral:rRNA from 1 species
GACGAACGCUGGCGGCGUGCUUAACACAUGCAAGUCGAACGGAAAGGCCCUGCUUUUGUGGGGUGCUCGAGUGGCGAACGGGUGAGUAACACGGGAGUAACCUGCCCUUGACUUUGGGAUAACUUCAGGAAACUGGGGCUAAUACCGGAUAGGUGCUCCUGCUGCAUGGUGGGGGUUGGAAAGUUUCGGCGGUUGGGGAUGGACUCGCGGCUUAUCAGCUUGUUGGUGGGGUAGUGGCUUACCAAGGCUUUGACGGGUAGCCGGCAUGAGUGGGUGACCGGACAAAGUGGGACAGAGAUGCGGUCCAGACUCCUACGGGAGGCAGCAGUGGGGAAUAUUGCACAAUGGGCGGAAGCCUGAUGCAGAAACGCCGCGUGCGGGAUGACGGCCUUCGGGUUGUAAACCGCUUUCGCCUGUGACGAAGCGUGAGUGACGGUAAUGGGUAAAGAGGCACCGGCUAACUACGUG